AGGUCUUGACAUCUUCUGCCAACCUAAGAGAUUAGGCGUUCCCUUCGGGGACAGAAUGACAGGUGGUGCAUGGUUGUCGUCAGCUCGUGUCGUGAGAUGUUGGGUUAAGUCCCGCAACGAGCGCAACCCUUAUUGUUAGUUGCCAGCAUUCAGUUGGGCACUCUAGCAAGACUGCCGGUGACAAACCGGAGGAAGGUGGGGAUGACGUCAAAUCAUCAUGCCCCUUAUGACCUGGGCUACACACGUGCUACAAUGGACGGUACAACGAGUCGCGAAACCGCGAGGUCAAGCUAAUCUCUUAAAGCCGUUCUCAGUUCGGAUUGUAGGCUGCAACUCGCCUACAUGAAGUUGGAAUCGCUAGUAAUCGUGGAUCAGCAUGCCACGGUGAAUACGUUCCCGGGCCUU
rnacentral:rRNA from 1 species